AUUUGUAGAGGAUGUUUCGGGUACCGCCUCGGUCUAAAUUUCUUGGAACAGAAUGUCAAAGAGGGUGAGAAUCCCGUCUUGGAUCGGCGGUAGGGCCCAUGUGAAACUCCUUCGACGAGUCGAGUUGUUUGGGAAUGCAGCUCAAAAUGGGUGGUAUAUUUCAUCUAAAGCUAAAUAUUGGCCAGAGACCGAUAGCGCACAAGUAGAGUGAUCGAAAGAUGAAAAGCACUUUGAAAAGAGAGUUAAAAAGUAUGUGAAAUUGUUGAAAGGGAAGCGCUUGCAACCAGACUUGCGCGCGGCGGUUCCCCCUUCCUUUUGGCUGGGUUAUUCCGCCGUGUCCAGGCCAACAUCGGUUCUGGGGGUCGGUCAAAGGCUCUGGGAAUGUAUCUACCCUUCGGGCGUAGACUUAUAGCCCAGGGCGUCAUGCGGCCUCCCGGGACCGAGGAACGCGCUUCGGCUCGGAUGUUGGCGUAAUGGUUGUCAGCGACCCGUCUUGAAACACGGACCAAGGAGUCUAACAUCUAUGCGAGUGUUUGGGUGUCAAACCCGGAACGCGGAAUGAAAGUGAACGGAGGUAGGAAGCUUCGGCUGCACUAUCGACCGAUCCUGAUGUCUUCGGAUGGAUUUGAGUAAGAGCAUAGCUGUUGGGACCCGAAAGAUGGUGAAC
rnacentral:rRNA from 1 species